CAUCGUCACUGAGCACUAACUUCUGUGACAGGAGGCAGACAGUGAAAACCAUUUCAGAACCGCGGCACGGCGUGAGAGAGGCGAAGGGGUAGCUGCAAAGUUUUGGACAAGACCUCUGCAGGCAACUGGAAGCACAGUGUACCCAGGUGGAGCCCAACCUCAUCAGCAUCUUUCCUUCAGGCAAACUGACAAUACAGGAUCUAGUCAAUGACUCAAGUGGAUUCAACUAUCUAAGAGGUGUGACAGCAACUUUGAGGAUGUGCAGAUAUCCAGUUUAUUACACAUUCAAUAAAAUAUUUUUCCCACCCUG